rnacentral:lncRNA from 1 species
GUGGCUGAGAGGAGCAAUUAAAACGCUUGUGUGAAUGUUAAAUAAAGAUCAAAAUAAUAGUAAAAAAUUAGACGAGGUAAUAAUGUUGUUGUUGGUGCGGAUAGUUUGUGAAAUUGUUGUGCGGUGUAAAAUUUAUUGAAAGUGUAGUGUGGUGCUAGUGAAGUGUUUGCGCAAUUGAGUGCAAGGAUUAUGUAUAUUUAAUGACGAAUUUAUUUCGAUUGGAGAGAGAGAGAGAGAUAUGGAAUAAGAGAGGAAAAGCGCGUCUUUUGCAAAGCCGGAUCGGAAGCCAAACUGGACAUUUCUUUUAAGAAUUCUCUCCGCUGAUAGCUCAAAUCCAGUUGUACUUGGUUGGCAUGGUGACCUGAAAUAAACAGAGCGAAUAAAUAUGGUUGUACUUUUCUUUUAGAUCCCGAAACUCACAAUAAACUCCAUAAUACAUAACCGAUCAUAAUACGUUCGUAACUAGAUCGUAACAUAUAAUAAACGACAGUUGUUAGCGCCAAAAUAACGUUUAUAAUCAAAGCUAAAUAUAUAGUUAUAUUUACGUAUAAUAAAAUAAAAACAAGAGUCGUAAAAAAUAAGCAACAACAGCUGCAAUGCUACACUACAGGCAGCAGCAGCCGGAAACAUUAGACAACGGGGCAACAGCCAACCCAAGGCAAAAAACUGCGCUGCAAUUUCAAGAGAGAGAAAGAGAGAGAAGGGACGUGAUUAUGCAACACUGCUUAAGGGAAAAUGAUCGCAACCUGAUGCGCACUGACAAAAACAAAACAACAAUUUACAGGUAAGUGGAAGCGACUCACGUCAUACCGCCAACACUUAACCAUUUAACACAUAACCACACAAACUGCAAAUCAUUAAACGAAAAUGAAAGAAAAUCGCUUUGAAAACGCUUCACGCUCUGAGGAGAAAUGCACUGCGCUUAAGUAGUGUUAAGUAUGAAAAUAAAAGUAAGUGGCAGAAAAAAUAGUUUAAUCGACGAAAAAAAGGUACAAAAAGUGCAAAAUGUGGUAACAAGCUAUUUAAAGACGCGACAAAGUGGCGAAAAAAGUGACGUUAGCGCUAGAGAGAUGGGGGCACUUCAAAGCGCAGCGUGUUGUUGUAGUCAAGUGCGGAGUCUAUUGUGGGCAUGUAAGUAGCAUUCAUUGACGGCUUAACGCAUUUUGCUCCAGUUUUAUUGUUGCUAUCAAAAAGGACAGAGGUACAUACAUGCUACUCGUACGUUUUUAUGGCGUUUCGCGACAGUCAUUGCGCAUCUAAUGCGUGUCUAACGAGUGUUACGCUGCCGCGGUAACUUCAUAACGCCGCUUCGAGGGUUUUUACUUUUAUUUGG